rnacentral:rRNA from 1 species
GACGAACGCUGGCGGCGCGCUUUAUACAUGCAAGUCGAACGUGAAGCUCGGAGCUUGCUCCGGGUGGAAAGUGGCGAACGGGUGAGUAUCACGUGAGAAACCUGCCCCGAAGACCGGGAUAACACCGGGAAACCGGUGCUAAUACCGGAUGCCCUCACCGGAUCGCAUGGUCUGGUGAGGAAAUGGAUUCCGCUUCGGAUGGUCUCGCGGCCUAUCAGCUUG